rnacentral:rRNA from 1 species
CCUACGGGAGGCAGCAGUGAGGAAUAUUGGUCAAUGGUCGUAAGCCUGAACCAGCCAAGUCGCGUGAGGGAUGAAGGUUCUAUGUAUCGUAAACCUCUUUUGUCAGGGAAUAAAGUGUGGGACGUGUCCUCUUUUGUAUGUACCUUAUGAAUAAGCACCGGCUAACUCCGUGCCAGCAGCCGCGGUAAUACGGAGGGUGCGAGCGUUAAUCGGAAUUACUGGGCGUAAAGCGCUCGGAGGCGGUAUGUCAAGUCAAGGGGGAAAGCCCCGGGCUCAACGUGGGCACUGCCUUUGAAACUGGCAGACUGGAGUGGGUGAGAGGAAAGUGGAAUGCGAGGUGUAGGAGUGAAAUCCGUAGAUAUCGGGAGGAACAUCAGUGGCGAAGGCGACUAGCCGGCACAAAACUGACGCUGAGGAGCGAAAGCGUGGGUAGCAAACAGGAUUAGAUACCCGAGUAGUC